GCGCCGGUAGUGCAAACGGCUAGCGCAUGCUCACUGAAAAGUGAGAUCUGGGUUCGAAUCCCGGCUGACGCA